rnacentral:rRNA from 1 species
AUAAGCGGAGGAAAAGAAACUAACAAGGAUUCCCCUAGUAACGGCGAGUGAAGCGGGAAGAGCUCAAAUUUGAAAUCUGGUAGCCUUCGGUUGCCCGAGUUGUAAUCUAGAGAAGUGUUUUCCGUGCCGGCCCAUGUACAAGUCCCUUGGAACAGGGCGUCAUAGAGGGUGAGAAUCCCGUCCUUGACAUGGACCCCCGGUGCUUUGUGAUACACUUUCAACGAGUCGAGUUGUUUGGGAAUGCAGCUCAAAAUGGGUGGUGAAUUCCAUCUAAAGCUAAAUAUUGGCGAGAGACCGAUAGCGAACAAGUACCGUGAGGGAAAGAUGAAAAGCACUUUGGAAAGAGAGUUAAACAGUACGUGAAAUUGUUGAAAGGGAAACGAUUGAAGUCAGUCAUGCUCUUAGGAUUCAGCCGUUCUGCGGUGUAUUUCCUUUGAGUGGGGUCAACAUCAGUUUUGAUCGAUGGAUAAAGGCACGAGGAAGGUAGCACUCUCGGGUGAACUUAUAGCCUCGCGUCAUAUACAUUGAUUGGGACUGAGGAACGCAGCAUGCCUUUAUGGCCGGGAUUCGUCCACGUACAUGUUAGGAUGU